UACAGAGGUCUCAAGCGUUGUUCGGAUUCAUUGGGCGUAAAGGGUGCGUAGGCGGCGCGGUAAGUCGGGUGUGAAAUCUCGGGGCUUAACUCCGAAACUGCAUUCGAUACUGCCGUGCUUGAGGACUGGAGAGGAGACUGGAAUUUACGGUGUAGCGGUGAAAUGCGUAGAUAUCGUAAGGAAGGCCAGUGGCGAAGGCGGGUCUCUGGACAGUUCCUGACGCUGAAGCACGAAGGCCAGGGGAGCAAACGGG
rnacentral:rRNA from 1 species